UACAGGGGGUGCAAACGUUGCUCGGAAUCAUUGGGCGUAAAGCGCACGUAGGCGGUCUGUUAUGUCGGAUGUGAAAGCCCUUGGCUCAACUGAGGAAGUGCAUCCGAAACUGGCAGGCUAGAGUACUAAAGAGGGUCGCGGAAUUCCCGGUGUAGAGGUGAAAUUCGUAGAUAUCCGGAGGAACACCGGUGGCGAAGGCGGCUUCCUGGACCGACACUGACGCUGAGGCGCGAAAGCUAGGGGAGCAAACGGG
rnacentral:rRNA from 1 species